AGUGAACGCUGGCGGUAGGCCUAACACAUGCAAGUCGAACGGCAGCACAGGAGAGCUUGCUCUCUGGGUGGCGAGUGGCGGACGGGUGAGGAAUACAUCGGAAUCUACCUUUUCGUGGGGGAUAACGUAGGGAAACUUACGCUAAUACCGCAUACGACCUACGGGUGAAAGUGGGGGACCGCAAGGCCUCACGCGAUUAGAUGAGCCGAUGUCCGAUUAGCUAGUUGGCGGGGUAAUGGCCCACCAAGGCGACGAUCGGUAGCUGGUCUGAGAGGAUGAUCAGCCAAAUGGGAAGUGGGAAACGGGCCAAACCCCUAGGGGAGGCAGAAGGGGGGAAAAUUGGACAAUGGGAGCAAGCCUGAUCCAGCCAUACCGGGUGGGUGAAGAAGGCCUUCGGGUUGUAAAGCCCUUUUGUGGGGAAAAAAAUCCUGGAGAUUAAAACUCGGGGGGGAGGACGGAACCCAAAAAAUAAGCACCGGCUAACUUCGU
rnacentral:rRNA from 1 species